rnacentral:rRNA from 1 species
UACGUAGGCAGCGAGCGUUGUUCGGAAUUACUGGGCGUAAAGAGUGUGUAGGCGGUGCUCUAAGUUCGGUGUGAAAUCUCCCGGCUUAACUGGGAGGGUGCGCCGGAAACUGGAGUGCUCGAGCGUGGGAGGGGAAAGCGGAAUUCCUGGUGUAGCGGUGAAAUGCGUAGAUAUCAGGAGGAACACCUGCGGUGUAGACGGCUUUCUGGACCAUUGCUGACGCUGAGACACGAAAGCGUGGGUAGCAAACAGG